rnacentral:rRNA from 1 species
AUACGGAGGAGGCAAGCGUUGUUCGGAAUUACUGGGCGUAAAGGGCGCGCAGGCUGUUUCGUUAGUCAGGCGUGAAAUCCCCGGGCUCAACCCGGGAACUGCGUUUGAUACUGCGGAACUAGAGAUCGGGAGAGGGUAGUGGAAUUCCCAGUGUAGAGGUGAAAUUCGUAGAUAUUGGGAAGAACACCAGUGGCGAAGGCGGCUACCUGGACCGAUACUGACGCUGCGGCGCGAAAGCGUGGGGAGCAAACAGGAUUAGAAACCCCAGUAGUCC